UGGGGAAUAUUGCACAAUGGGCGCAAGCCUGAUGCAGCCAUGCCGCGUGUAUGAAGAAGGCCUUCGGGUUGUAAAGUACUUUCAGCGAGGAGGAAGGCGUUGUGGUUAAUAACCGCAGCGAUUGACGUUACUCGCAGAAGAAGCACCGGCUAACUCCGUGCCAGCAGCCGCGGUAAUACGGAGGGUGCAAGCGUUAAUCGGAAUUACUGGGCGUAAAGCGCACGCAGGCGGUCUGUCAAGUCGGAUGCGAAAUCCCCGGGCUCAACCUGGGAACUGCAUCCGAAACUGGCAGGCUAGAGUCUUGUAGAGGGGGGUAGAAUUCCAGGUGUAGCGGUGAAAUGCGUAGAGAUCUGGAGGAAUACCGGUGGCGAAGGCGGCCCCCUGGACAAAGACUGACGCUCAGGUGCGAAAGCGUGGGGAGCAAACA
rnacentral:rRNA from 1 species